AUACAAAAAUAGAAGAAGAAAAAAUCUGAAACCUGCUGGGUCUCAGACUCUCACUCAUCAUACAAUUCGCUGAAGUCCAGUCCCUUCGUAAAGUGUAGUCAAUACUUAUUUGAUUUUGAGACAUGGUUCUGCUCAGCCUAGCGCCUCGUAUUCAAUGAGCCAAAGCCACUUGCGACGGUCUACUUUGUGCGGCGCGUUGAAACGAUUCCUGGAUGUCUGGGACGAAGCAGAGGCACGUCCGCUGUGCGAUCCCAGGUUGCUUGGAAAAGCAGAGAUCGCUGUACAAUCUCCCGAAAGACCAAUCAAAAAGGAGAAAUUGGUUGGAAUUUAUCUUUAACUAUAAUGUUCCAGAUACGUUCAGCCCAUACAUGUUGGUUUGUUGCCAGCACUUCGAGUCAAGUUGUUUUGCAAACGAAGCCCAGUACAACGCAGGAUUUGCAUCAAAGUUAUUGCUUCUACCUGGAGCUAUUCCUACUGUAGACCUACGAUGUCCAUCAGAAAAUAAACUAUCUACGAGCGCUCCCUCACAGCUGCCUGCAUCCAGGCGUGUUGCCUGCCAAACUGACCCCGUCGGAGGUAAAUCAACAGGUACUCAGCUGUCCCAGAGAACACUACGGCCUCAUUUCAGAAGUAUAGGUACCCAAACUAUACCAAGGAUAGGCCCUUAUCUGACCUCAACAUCAGCCAAGGCUACGAGACCAGCCAGGAAACCGCAUAUUGUUGUCAAGGAGGAGGAGGAGAGUUCUAUAGAGUUCCCUGAGCUGCAUGAUUCUUCUUACAAUCCUGUGGUUUCUGGGCCUUCCUUGUCAUCUUCUCCAAGGUCCUUGUGAGUUCAUUUUUUAACCAUAAUGUGAAAUAGUAUUUUUUAAUUUAUAACUUGCAUGGAAAGAUAAUUGAAAUCCAUACAUUGACUACCAAAUUUCCUCAACGAAACUGAAUCCUUUAGAUGGUCAUUGUCAAGAGGAUUUAUACAACAGACUUGAAAAGCGAGUCACCUAUGGAAGAUGCACUUUGAAUGAUCCAUUUGGGGAAAUGAGUACUCUGCAUGUAACACAUCCUAUCUAGCUAUGAGCAGUGACACACAUGGGAGUGCCCGAGAGACAACUCCAGUUUAUAGUGCCUUUGCCUUGCUGAUGGUAAAGUAGGAGUAUUACCUUCAUGCUUUCGGUAAGAGGUGACCAGAGCGCCUGUAGGAGACCUGGGUGAACACGAAGAGUACAAAGACCUCGAACACAGAACUUCCAUCCAUCGGCGUCUUCAAACCCAUGUCCUUCUUGCUCUGAAAUAGUAGGGGGUAACCACUGAGCAACUGGUUAUUAUUUAUUUUUAGAUGGAAGAAUGUAUCGGUCCUAUACACUGUGUGUAGCAUAUAUAAAUAUAGUCUCUACAAAAACACUUGUAAAGAGACUGAGUAAUGUGCUUGUUGUCAUGAAAGCAAGGUGCUGUUCUGAGAAAUUGAUCCAUUUAAAAAAUGGUUUCUCAAAAGUAGCACGCACCACUGUGUCUAAGUGCUAAGACACACACCGCCUAAAAGUAUUCUCACACAAUUGUUUGAAUAGAAAAUGUCAAGGCUGCAUAAAUCAACAGGGUCUUUGUGCACAUGCAUUUGAAUGUACAAUUUAAAAUGAAGGCCGUCCCUUAGGGUCAUUGCAUUAAGUGGAAACUGAACAUUAUGUCGUUUAUUCUUUUUUUCUUUGACUAAACGAGGUGGCUACCUGUUACGUUGAAUUCCAGUGAUGUUUUUUGUCUCAAAUUCAUUAUUUAUAGGAAUUUAUAUCCUCGACAAGAAAACAGGACAUACUUCAGUGUUGAUGCUUCAACACCUUUUCAACUUGGGAGUGCCGCUGUCGUUUACUCUGUCAAGGGAGGUUGUUAAUGAUCCAUCAAAUUAAUUAAACCUCUCCUCCGGAUGUCUUGUAUUCCUUAUCAUAACUCCUCACCUUGUCACUUGUCGUUGCCGUCAUCUUCAGACAUCAACAACAGCUUUGGGUGGGCUAUACUUCACCUUCUUAAAUCUGCUAUUUUCACAGGCUUCAGUCUCAUGAUUCUUAUGUGUUCAUAUCGAUCGAAAUGACCGGUAAAACACUGACAUGAGAACCAUGAGAUGAUCAACAGAAUCUUAUCCAAACAAGGUGGGGUGAGAAAUUCCAAAGAUACGAGGGCUCAAUCCCAAUGUCUGGCCUCAUAGACUUUGUUGCGCGUUCUCGUGAAAUGAUUAAGGCUUUAGGGCUGUCCCAUUGUCGAAUUCCAAAGGGCGUGAGGAUUGGAGUCCACACUUACCGAGCCCUUUCCGUGAGUCUGCAUCAGUGCAGACUUCAACUAAGGGAAUUACCCACAGUUCAAAGACAUUUACUGCGGAGACCAUAGGGAAAUUAGGAAGGUAAACAAGACGACCCUACUGUCAAUGCGCAACUUUUUUUAGUGAGUCGGAUCGUUUGGAUCAGCUCACCAACAAGAGCUGGCUCUUUUGGCUCCCAAACAGCUCUUCAUAUUACUAAUUAUACCUUUCAUAAUUCAACCAAAUGUAGGCCGUUCUAACUUAUGAAUAGUAUGUGUAGGCCAAUAAUCACCUAAAUUACUCAAUACAUCCUUUAUACUGAAGUAUUCAAAAGUAGAAAAAUUAUAUUUUCUAACCAAUAAAUUGCUGUAGCCGUUUGUUUUCACUGCAUUUCCAAAGAAAAAACAAAAAAAAAUUAAAAAAAAAUCCCAAACCGGCAAGUGUCGGCAACAUAUUUUUCAUUAAACGUUGCCAAGAUAACAUGUGCUCUUGUGAAGUGCUGUCCCAAUCCCAUAUUACCUAUUCGAGCCCAUGUGGCCUCACACAUUCACUCACUUAGCAACUGAGAUUAAUUAAGUCUGUGAGGCCGAUUCAUACCUCCGGAUCCGGACGAAAUUUGUCCGUCCGUACCAAACGUUGUCUCCGGGACUACCCUCCAUACUUAUUUCAGCGUUGUUAUGGAUGUUACGCUCAGAGGCAACGGACCCGCUGACGGACGAAACGAAGGGUUCCUAUCCGUAUUUACCGCAGGUAGUGAAUGGGCCUUAAGCCCUCAGGGCUCACUUUGGGAUUGGGCCGAGGAGACGUUGUUAUUCAAAGCCAUUUAAUGAAGAUUCACUUCACUAGUGGCUCUUGGCUCUGUGAGGGACAGCAGACUUUUACAUUUUCUGCAACUCUGUAUCCACUUCAUGUGAGCACUCUGUGCCUGCGAUGAUGAAACUCAAGGAAUUGUCUGCAGAGGUCAAAGGGGUCCUUAAUCCAUGAUGAAUGAGCUCUCCAGGGCAGACUAGAGACUGCCAAAUGAGCCCAAUUAAAAUGAAUGGAAAGUGAUUUCAAAUGCCUCGAUUUAAUCUCUACAUUGAAUAUAAUAGAAAUUCCACAACCCACUGCAGAACAUAACAUCUUCUCAUAGACAGCCCCAAGACACCUAACUUGUCUAUCAGCCUGCCCCGCAGACUACAGCUGUUUUAAAAAAAAAAUACAUUUGACUUAUCUUUUUAAAAAAGGCUUUUGCUAAUUUCCCUUUUACUUUUUAUGUAUUAUAUGUUUUAACAACCCAAUUUUUUAAACUCUGUAGCACUUUGAGAUUUCUCAAUGCAAAGUGCUCUACAAAUUCAAUAUAUUAUUAUUAUUAUUAUUAAGAUUUGUUGGCGAGAUACAACAUCUGUGACAAUGCAGUAAGGGGGUAAGGGCUAGUGACUUCCCCUUCAUGCAUUAUUCUCGCCAAACAUUUCUGGAUCUAUUGAGGGAAAACAGGCAGUGCUGUCGAAUAGAAUAUCUCUGAGCAGCGGCCGGGUAAAUGUGUCACUAAUAUGAAGUGCAGCACGGAGAACCCGAUGUAUACGAGUAGGAUGGCUCGCUGGUUGCAGAUAGAGCAGUCACGAGUGGUUUCCGUUACUGUAGUAUCCUGGGAACCAUGAAUGAACCAAACUUUUCAAAUGUGAUGUAAUAUUGCUCCAUACUGUCUACAUUGAAGUGAACAAAUACUGUGCUUUGUGCUGUGCUGUAUGCAGACACACAGACGUGCACGUAGACAACAGAGGCCUGUUCACCAAUAAUCUCAAUACACAGGAUAAAGAAAGCCUCUAUUUAUGAAAGUAAUAAAACCAAGAAGGGGGGGCAGGUGGAAUAUCAGGAAUGACAGCUUGGCGUAAUUUGUGCCUUAUUAUGCUUAAAAUAAAAUGGGUCCCGCAAAGGAUAGGUUUGAACAGCGUCAGGGGUGAUAGAUAAAUAAACAUGAAAUGCUAUCAGGCUCUGGAGGAAGGCGGGCGGAAGUUCCACUUUAUUUGUCUUUUCUGUGUCUGCUAGCCCAAUAUCCCACUAAUAAUAAAAAAGGAAUAGGCAAGGCUCCCUGUUGGGUUGUAGGAUUUUAUUGUUGUUUGGGAAGAAAUUUCGUUUUUCUAUUUGCAUUGCAUUAUGCUCGAUCGUUCCUCCAUCACAUUCAUUGAUGAAACGGCUCAGAAAGACAUGAUAAUUUUAAGGGAUUAACCCCUUUUUUAAGAAAAAAAGCCCAAAGCACAGAAGGAAAUGAAUAACAGUUCUCCCCUUGACUGAUAUCGCUCAAUCCUAUCUUGAAUUCAUAUCAGAAACAACCCUGGCACCACAAUUCUGGCCUAUUAACCUUGCCCGAUAUUGAAUUUGACAAAUAGAACCAGUGGACCGAUUCUGGGGCAUCGGUCCACUCAGAAGCAUACUUUAUUCAUUGAUUUUCAAUACAAACAUGGCUGAAGCGCAAAGACAUCUACCGUCAGUGUCCUCAACUGACUCUUGUGUUCAGUCCCUUAGUUGCUCGAGUUUUGUUGUUGCUAAUAGCUACACACAACCACAGGGUUAAUAGACCGCUUAGCAGCGGUGUCAUCGUAGGACAAGGGUGCGCAGGUGUCGCUCAUAACACUAAAGUUGCGUCUGCUACUUUUACGGGUAGAUAAUAUGAGCACAUUGACCAUGGAGCAUUUUCACUGAGCUGUCAGAGCAGGGCAAACACCGGUGUA